rnacentral:rRNA from 1 species
GGCCAGCAGCCGCGGUAAUACAGAGAGUGCAAGCGUUAAUCGGAAUUACUGGGCGUAAAGCGCACGCAGGCGGAUGUUUAAGUCGGAUGUGAAAGCCCUAGGCUUAACCUAGGAACUGCAUUCGAUACUGGACAUCUAGAGUAUGGUAGAGGGAAGUGGAAUUUCCGGUGUAGCGGUGAAAUGCGUAGAUACCGGAAGGAACACCAGUGGCGAAGGCGACUUCCUGGACCAAUACUGACGCUCAGGUGCGAAAGCGUGGGGAGCAAACAGGAUUAGAUA